rnacentral:rRNA from 1 species
GACGAACGCUGGCGGCGUGCCUAAUACAUGCAAGUUGAGCGCUGAAGGUUGGUCCUUGUACCAACUGGAUGAGCAGCGAACGGGUGAGUAACGCGUGGGGAAUCUGCCUUUGAGCGGGGGACAACAUUUGGAGACGAAUGCUAAUACCGCAUAAAAACUUUAAACACAAGUUUUAAGUUUGAAAGAUGCAAUUGCAUCACUCAAAGAUGAUCCCGCGUUGUAUUAGCUAGUUGGUGAGGUAAAGGCUCACCAAGGCGAUGAUACAUAGCCGACCUGAGAGGGUGAUCAGCCACCUGGGGACUGAGACACGGCCCAAACCCCUACGGGAGGCAGCAGUAGGGAAUCUUCGGCAAUGGACGAAAGUCUGACCGAGCAACGCCGCGUGAGUGAAGAAGGUUUUCGGAUCGUAAAACUCUGUUGGUAGAGAAGAACGUUGGUGAGAGUGGAAAGCUCAUCAAGUGACGGUAACUACCCAGAAAGGGACGGCUAACUACGUG